GCCCGGCUAGCUCAAUCGGUAGAGCGUGAGACUCUUACGCGGCUCUUUCGGGCCUCAAUAAGAUCAUCUCAAGGCUGUGGGUUCGACCCCCACGUCGGGCU
rfam:Magnaporthe oryzae 70-15 chromosome 6, whole genome shotgun sequence.